rfam:Pseudomonas knackmussii B13 complete genome
UUGACAUGCAAAUGAUAAUUGUUAUUAUUCAAACCACUGGCUGCGAGGCCAGUCGAUAAACUGAGCGGCCACCGCAGUCGGACGAUCAGAUUAUCUCCUCAUCAGGCUAAUCACGGAUUCGACCCGGCUCUUCGCCGGGUCUUUUUUUG